ACUCUCUGAGAGUGAGAUGCCGAAUGUGCAUUGUAAACCAUUAUCCCAGAUGAAUCUGAAGUUGAAGAACCACCGUAUAGUAUAGACAAGAAUGUCUAAUUUUGUUCUUGGGAGAAGAAUAGUAACCAAUACCUGGGGUUAAAUAUUUACAUGUUCCAUACUUCAGGUGAUCUCAGACCACAACUGGUAAGGUAUAUCCUGGAAGAAGCAUCACCCUCCUUUUAUAGCUAAAAUAAUGGAGCGAGAAUAUCAUAUAAAAGUUAAGCCUCAGCCAGGCACGGUGUCUCACGCCUGUAAUCCCAGCACUUUGGGAGGCCAAGGCAGGAGGAUCACCUGAGGUCAGGAAUUCGAGACCAGCCUGACCAAUAUGAUGAAACUCCAUCUCUAUUAAAAAUACAAAAAUUAGCCAGGUGUGGUGGCGCACACCUGUAAUCCCAGCUACAAAAAGUUAAGCCUCAUAGCGUCUGGCAAUUUGGGUUCUUGAAGCUAGAGCCUUUUGUUCCUUCUUCAAACCCCCAUGGCCUUUCCUUUUCCUAGCAGAUCUCCACCUAGUUCAGGUAUUCAUGCUCCUCUACCCAGAGAGGUCUGGGGUGGGGAAGAUCCUGCUCAGGUUAAGCCGUGCUUGGUGCUGGGUAAGCGCCCUUGGCUCCAUUCUGGUCAGUGAGACUAGAAGGGAGGGCUGGCCAGUGGAGAAGAAAGCAAAGUCACAGCCUGUCAGCUACUCAAGAGCAAAGCAGUGACCACCAGAUUGUUAUUUUUAAUUGUUCAUAUUAUUUGAACAAAUUCUGUGAUUAAAUGAGGACUGACUGAGGUGCAGCCAUUUUUCACAGGACUUUGAGCUGUGUGGAGGUGUCAUGAGUGAGAGGCGGCAAUUAGAGAAGGAGAGAAGCUGUCAGAGCAAGUGCAGGCUGAGGCUGGUGAGGCCUGGGGAGCAGGGAGCCCUAGGGAACCCAUGGAGGGCAAAUCCAUGAGGACUGGUAUGGCUUACAGACAUAUUUUUCAAGCUGUGGGUUGUGACCCUUUUAGUAGCUCAUGAAAUCAACUUAGUGGGUUGUGACCAGCUCUUAAAUCAAGGCUGGAAGGUGGGUGAAAUAGAAUAGGAAGUCGCAUGUGUGGUGAGUGUAAGUAUGUGUGCAUAUGUGUAUGUGCCUGUGUGUGUGCGCGUGCAUGGUGUUUGUGUAUACCAUAUUCCAAUGUAAACAUCUUUUUGCAGUGGUUGUGGUUGUGACCUGGAGGCUGGCCGGCCGCCUGCUCCUCUCCACCCUGAGGAUUCCAGAUGAUGCGGAGUGUUAGGCAUUUUUAAGAGGGGAAAAAGAUCCUCACCUCUUUUAAUUCUCAAACACCGCUUGAAUACACAGAUUUCAUGCUUGUGACACCUUUCUUCCUUCAAAGAUGCUGCCGGUGUGUCGAUGGCAAAUAAAACAGGCCCUGCUUCGCGGUGUCCAUGGCCACCCCCGCCCCUCAUAAUGACCCUCCACUCCCCCACCCAGAAAUAGGCUCCCCUCCAAAGGCACUGGGUGUAUCCGAAGAGAAUGAUCUACACAAGGAGUAGCCUCCUUUCCUGGUUCCAGAAAUCAGAAUUAAGGGGGAACAGUUUGCCUGGAAGGGAGCCAAAGUCUAGAGUCUUUUGUUCCCUCUUCAAGUCCCUAUGGCCUUUCCUUUUCCUAACAUCU
rnacentral:lncRNA from 10 species